UACGUAGGGUGCGAGCGUUGUCCGGAAUUAUUGGGCGUAAAGGGCUCGUAGGCGGUUUGUCACGUCGGGAGUGAAAACUCGGGGCUUAACCCCGAGCCUGCUUUCGAUACGGGCAGACUAGAGGCAUGCAGGGGAGAACGGAAUUCCUGGUGUAGCGGUGGAAAUGCGCAGAUAUCAGGAGGAACACCGGUGGCGAAGGCGGUUCUCUGGGCAUGUCCUGACGCUGAGGAGCGAAAGUGUGGGGAGCGAACAGG
rnacentral:rRNA from 1 species